rnacentral:rRNA from 1 species
UACGUAGGGGGCAAGCGUUGUCCGGAUUUAUUGGGCGUAAAGAGCGUGUAGGCGGCCAGGGAGGACCGUUGUGAAAACUCGAGGCUCAACCUCGAGACGCCGAUGGAAACCCCCUGGCUAGAGUCCGGAAGAGGAGAGUGGAAUUCCUGGUGUAGCGGUGAAAUGCGCAGAUAUCAGGAAGAACACCCGUGGCUAAGGCGGCUCUCUAGUACGGUACUGACGCUGAGACGCGAAAGCGUGGGGAGCGAACAGG